rnacentral:rRNA from 1 species
CAAGAGCGUAUAUUAAAGUUGCUGCGGUUAAAAAGCUCGUAGUUGGAUUUCAGUCUAGGAAGGUUAACUCGCCGAAAGGUUGUACGUUGAUUUUCCUCAGACUUCGUCAGAAGCUCGUGCUGCACUUAACUGUGUGGUACGAUGUUCUGACCUUUUACCUUGAGGAAAGUAGAGUGUUUCAGGCAGGCUACCCAGCUUGAAUACAUUAGCGUGGAAUAAUGAAAUGGAUCUCGGUUCGAUUUCGUUGGUUCUAGAGCUGAGGUGAUGAUCAAUAGGAACAGGCGAAGGUAUUCGUACUUGAGAGUGAGGAGUGAAAUCCGAUGAUCUCUUAAAGACGAUCCGAGGCGAAAGCAUUUGUCAAGGAUGUUUUCAUUGA